rnacentral:rRNA from 1 species
AUUGAACGCUGGCGGCAGGCCUAACACAUGCAAGUCGAGCGGAUGAAGGGAGCUUGCUCCUGGAUUCAGCGGCGGACGGGUGAGUAAUGCCUAGGAAUCUGCCUGGUAGUGGGGGAUAACGUCCGGAAACGGGCGCUAAUACCGCAUACGUCCUGAGGGAGAAAGUGGGGGAUCUUCGAACCUCACGCUAUCAGAUGAGCCUAGGUCGGAUUAGCUAGUUGGUGGGGUAAAGGCCUACCAAGGCGACGAUCCGUAACUGGUCUGAGAGGAUGAUCAGUCACACUGGAACUGAGACACGGUCCAGACUCCUACGGGAGGCAGCAGUGGGGAAUAUUGGACAAUGGGCGAAAGCCUGAUCCAGCCAUGCCGCGUGUGUGAAGAAGGUCUUCGGAUUGUAAAGCACUUUAAGUUGGGAGGAAGGGCAGUAAGUUAAGACCUUGCUGUUUUGACGUUACCAACAGAAUAAGCACCGGCUAACUUCGU